rnacentral:rRNA from 1 species
UGGGGAAUUUUGGACAAUGGGGGCAACCCUGAUCCAGCCAUCCCGCGUGUGCGAUGAAGGCCUUCGGGUUGUAAAGCACUUUUGGCAGGGAAGAAACAGCCUGGGAUAAUACCCCGGGCGACUGACGGUACCUGCAGAAUAAGCACCGGCUAACUACGUGCCAGCAGCCGCGGUAAUACGUAGGGUGCAAGCGUUAAUCGGAAUUACUGGGCGUAAAGCGUGCGCAGGCGGUUCGGAAAGAAAGGUGUGAAAUCCCAGGGCUUAACCUUGGAACUGCACUUUUAACUACCGAGCUAGAGUACGUCAGAGGGGGGUAGAAUUCCACGUGUAGCAGUGAAAUGCGUAGAGAUGUGGAGGAAUACCGAUGGCGAAGGCAGCCCCCUGGGAUGAUACUGACGCUCAUGCACGAAAGCGUGGGGAGCAAACAGGAUUAGAUACCCUGGUAGUCCACGCCCUAAACGAUGUCAACUAGUUGUUGGGGAUUCAUUUCCUUAGUAACGUAGCUAACGCGUGAAGUUGACCGCCU